CUCCUACCAAAGUAAAAGCAAGGAGAAGGAGAAAGAGAAAGAAGAUGGAGAAGGAGAGCAAGGAAGGAAGAGGAAGGGAUGAGCAAGGGUUUCCUACCAACUAAGAUGAGGAUUCAGAGAACGCUUCAAAGACUGUGGCUGAGGAGCCUACCCUCUAUGGAGGUGACCUUUGGGACGAGGAGCCGGUCAUGCAUGUGGAUAGCUGUGUAUGCGAUGAUUGUACUUUCGGAGCACAUUGAAGAUGAGAGUAUCAUAUUCCCUUUUUAUUUUUUUGUUUACAUAUUAGAUGUAGCCCUAGGGGCAUAACUGUAACUAAUAUUCCGUUGUGAAAAUAUUUUGGUAAAUAUGAUAAAUAUUAUUAGACUUCACCAGUUAUGUAUAUUUGACUAUUAUAAAUAUCUUGUGAUAGUA